rnacentral:rRNA from 1 species
UACGUAGGGGGCGAGCGUUGUCCGGAUUUAUUGGGCGUAAAGGGUCCGGAGGCGGUCGUUGAAGUUUCGCGUGACAGUCCUCGGCUUAACUGAGGAAGGAUGCGGAAAACUGAGCGACUUGAGGGUGUAAGAGGAAAGCGGAAUUCCGGGUGGAGUGGUGAAAUGCGUAGAUAUCAGGAGGAACACCUGUGGUGUAGACAGCUUUCUGGACCAUUGCUGACGCUGAGACACGAAAGCGUGGGUAGCAAACAGG